UAGUUACAACUUUCAACAACGGAUCUCUUGGUUCUGGCAUCGAUGAAGAACGCAGCGAAAUGCGAUAAGUAGUGUGAAUUGCAGAAUUCAGUGAAUCAUCGAAUCUUUGAACGCACAUUGCGCCCCUUGGUAUUCCAUGGGGCAUGCCUGUUCGAGCG
rnacentral:rRNA from 1 species